UACGAAGGGGGCGAGCGUUGUUCGGAAUUACUGGGCGUAAAGGGCGCGUAGGCGGCCGAUCAAGUUAGAUGUGAAAGUCCUGGGCUUAACCUGGGGACUGCAUUUGAUACUGAUUGGCUUGAAUUCGGGAGAGGAUAGCGGAAUUCCCAGUGUAGAGGUGAAAUUCGUAGAUAUUGGGAAGAACACCGGUGGCGAAGGCGGCUCACUGGACGACUGUUGACGCUGAGGUGCGAAAGCGUGGGGAGCAAACAGG
rnacentral:rRNA from 1 species